rnacentral:rRNA from 1 species
ACAGAGGGUGCGAGCGUUAAUCGGAAUUACUGGGCGUAAAGCGUGCGUAGGCGGUUAAUUAAGUCAGAUGUGAAAGCCCUGGGCUCAACCUGGGAAUUGCAUUUGAUACUGGUUGACUUGAGUAUGGGAGAGGGAAGUGGAAUUUCCGGUGUAGCGGUGAAAUGCGUAGAUAUCGGAAGGAACACCAGUGGCGAAGGCGACUUCCUGGACCAUUACUGACGCUGAGGCACGAAAGCGUGGGGAGCAAACAGG